UAUUGGUCAAUGGCCGGAAGGCUGAACUAGCCAAGUCGCGUGAGGGAAUAAGGCCCUACGGGUCGUAAACCUCUUUUGUCAGGGAGCAAGGCCGUCCACGAGUGGCCGGAUGGAGAGUCCCUGAAGAAAAAGCAUCGGCUAACUACGUGCCAGCCGCCGCGGUAAUACGGAGGAUGCGAGCGUUAUCCGGAUUUAUUGGGCUUAAAGGGUGCGUAGGCGGCCUGCCAAGUCAGCGGUAAAAUUGCGGGGCUCAACCCCGUAGAGCCGUUGAAACUGCCGGGCUCGAGUGGGCGAGAAGUAUGCGGAAUGCGUGGUGUAGCGGUGAAAUGCAUAGAUAUCACGCAGAACCCCGAUUGCGAAGGCAGCAUACCGGCGCCCUACUGACGCUGAGGCACGAAAGUGCGGGGAUCA
rnacentral:rRNA from 1 species